UUUUCAGCUUAAUAUCUGAAAGUUCCCUCACUGAGGGACCAGUAUAUUAAACUGAUUUUUGUAUCUAGAUGGGNUAGUUGGGGCUCGCUCCACGCUCAUCGCGG
rnacentral:snRNA from 1 species